UUAUUUUACCAUUUUAGCCUUGAAACUUAAAUUAAUUUCUUCCCUAACUACAGUUAUUUUUAGAUUUGGGAACGAAACAACCAUUUUCUUUUUCACAUUUGAGAAGUAAAACACUAAUUUCUCCCCUUUUUUUGCUUUGUUCUUGGUUGUGGCUGCUUUUUGAAGGUUGGAGGCUCUGAGGUGCCUACUUCAUUUGUUAGUGUAGAAGCAGGCAAGAUGGUAAAGACACGAAAAUUUGUGGAGGGAGAUAGUACCUUAGCAACAAAAGUUGUUUGGGAUGAUGAGCUGACGUUGAUAUUUUGUGAGCUUUGCGUGAAUGAAGUCAAUGCUGAUAAUAGACCAACAACUCAUCUAAACUCAAAAGGAUGGGAAAAUGUCGUUGCUCUUUUUCAAGCAAAAACACAAAAAAAAUUAUGGAAAAUCUCAAUUGAAAAACAAGUGGGAUACAUUAAAAAAUGAAUGGAGGUUAUGGAGGGAGUUGCUUAAGGAAUCUACAGGUAUUGGAUGGUGUCCAUCUAAAAAGACGGUCGAUGCUACCGAAGAAUGGUGAGCUGAAAAAAUACAGGUUAUGGAUGAAUUUAACAAUAUGUAUAAUAGUUUUUAUAUGAAUUAUGAUACCCUUGAAUUAAGUGAAGAAGCUCAACGAAGAAUAGCCACAAUUGUUACACAAGUUCAGCACAACAAUUAUCAUGAAGAGGAAGAACAAGUGUUAAGAGUGUAUUGCUUCACCAUGAAACUUAUUUCACUAAGCAACCGUGCAUGGAUUCAAAUUAUACAGGUCAAAUGUGGGUGGACGAAAUAUUAAAUGGGCAUGAUGAUCGUUGCAUGAAUAGUUUUAAGAUGCCAAAAAAUAUAUUUCACAGCUUGUUGCAUGAUUUGCAAACCAAUUAUGGCUUAAAGCAUGGGAAUGUAUCUGCGAUGGAGAAGUUAGCAUUAUCAUUGUAUAUUCUUGGAAAUAGAGAAUCAAAUUCAAAUGCAGAAGAGCGAUUUCAACGAUCUGGGGAAACUGUUAGUCGAAUUUUUACUGAUAUGUUACAUAUAUUUGCUCGAAUGGGAAUAGACACGAUUAAACCCACUGAAGGUCAAUUCGAGGAAGUACCGAACCAUAUUCGACAUGAUACAAGAUAUUGGCCUCACUUUAAGGAUUGUAUAGGGGCCAUAGAUGGAGAACACAUAAAAGUAUGCAUUUCGCCUUCUUGUCAAAUACCUUAUAUCGGACGGAAAGGUGAACCAACUCAAAAUAUUAUGGCAGUUUGUGACUUCAACAUGUGCUUUAUUUUUGCAUUUCCUGGUUGGGAAGGAACAACACAUGACAGUAGAAUUUUUUUUGCAAGCACUUAGAAAACAAGAGUUAAAGUUUCCACACCCUCCACCAGGAAAAUAUUAUCUUGUGGAUUCAGGAUAUCCACAAAUGGCAGGUUUUCUAGGUCCAUAUAGGGGGGAACGAUAUCAUUUACCUGACUUUCAUCGAGGUUAGGUACUUCUUUGAUCGCCGACUCAACAUCCAACAAUGAUCCUGAUCUCAAGUGUGUUGAUGUUUACCUUUUGUAAUGGCAUGGACCUAUGAUGUCUUGGUUGUUAUUCAUUUUGUGAAUGAUUUGUAAAUUGAGUUAUAAGUAUAAUGUUGGUUUGAUUAUAUAAGUAUAUGUUUGUGUUGAAGCCAUAA